UUACACAUGCAAGUCGAACGGUAACAGGAAGCAGCUUGCUGCUUCGCUGACGAGUGGCGGACGGGUGAGUAAUGUCUGGGAAACUGCCUGAUGGAGGGGGAUAACUACUGGAAACGGUAGCUAAUACCGCAUAACGUCGCAAGACCAAAGAGGGGGACCUUCGGGCCUCUUGCCAUCGGAUGUGCCCAGAUGGGAUUAGCUAGUAGGUGGGGUAACGGCUCACCUAGGCGACGAUCCCUAGCUGGUCUGAGAGGAUGACCAGCCACACUGGAACUGAGACACGGUCCAGACUCCUACGGGAGGCAGCAGUGGGGAAUAUUGCACAAUGGGCGCAAGCCUGAUGCAGCCAUGCCGCGUGUAUGAAGAAGGCCUUCGGGUUGUAAAGUACUUUCAGCGGGGAGGAAGGCGAUAAGGUUAAUAACCUUGUCGAUUGACGUUACCCGCAGAAGAAGCACCGGCUAACUCCGUGCCAGCAGCCGCGGUAAUACGGAGGGUGCAAGCGUUAAUCGGAAUUACUGGGCGUAAAGCGCACGCAGGCGGUCUGUCAAGUCGGAUGUGAAAUCCCCGGGCUCAACCUGGGAACUGCAUUCGAAACUGGCAGGCUAGAGUCUUGUAGAGGGGGGUAGAAUUCCAGGUGUAGCGGUGAAAUGCGUAGAGAUCUGGAGGAAUACCGGUGGCGAAGGCGGCCCCCUGGACAAAGACUGACGCUCAGGUGCGAAA
rnacentral:rRNA from 1 species